rnacentral:lncRNA from 1 species
CAUUGUUAAAAGUCAGUCAACAACAUUCAGUAAUCAACAGUUGGAAGUUUCCAAUGACUGUCAUCCAAUCAAAACUUUUUUUAGGUUUCAACCAAGAUGGCACCAUGGAGAGAUCCAGAAUGCUCUUCUAUAGACGCACAGGUGGUUGAGAAAACACAAACAUCAAAAACAGGUCCUUGUUUUCUCUUUCUCAAGUAUACCCCAAAUCUGAAGACUUCAAUGGUGUUUCUUUUCUCUUCAGUUAUAUUUUUCUUCCCAUAUAUAUAUUUUCUUACUUAGGUAAAAUGAUAAAGGGAUAAUAUGAUUUAAGUGCAUUAAUAAAAUGAAUGUUUUGAAUAGACCAUAAUGUGAAAAGCAUCCUAGGGUUCAGUGCUAAGCUAUGCUUUACAUGAGCAAUUAAAGAUAUCUGUGUUAAUAGUACAAAUUAUAUUAAAUAUAUAAGCUUUCUGUCCCUACAUUUACUGAAAAUUAAUGUUAAAUCCUAGAAAGGAAAAGAUUUUCUUAUUAAUUGAAAUGUCCUUAUUUUAGAAUCUGAUUAAAUAGAAUUCUUUAUAUAUGGUCAAGUAUAAGAGAGUCACCCCUUUUUACUAGGAAACUUAAUAGAACAAUGAAAAGAAAAAGAGAACUGGACCUGGAAACCAUUGAUUUGAGUUUUAGUUCUACCACUUACCAGCUAUGUGAUUUCACUGAAGAGAUCUACUCUCCACGAGCAUGGAUUUUGUUCAAGUGUAAAAAGGAAUAAUAUGCCAAUAAUGUUUUCCCUACCUACAUUCAUAAAGUGCAUUUAAUAAAUGUAUAUGUACUAGGUAAACUUUGAAAUGGCAUGCCAUUGUUCUUUAUCAGAAUUAUAAAACUUAUGGGAAUGUAGUUAGGAUUGAAAUAGAAGUUGAUAGAAGGAGAUAAUUUUGAAAUAUCAGAGCAGAAAAAGAAUGGAGUAGAAUUGAAACUGAUCUCUCAUAUGGGAAAGUUUAGUUUGGCACUGGUUAAGGAAUUUAGAACUAG